rnacentral:rRNA from 1 species
CGAACGGUAACAGGAUGUGCUUGCACAUCGCUGACGAGUGGCGGACGGGUGAGUAAUGCUUGGGAACUUGCCUUUGCGAGGGGGAUAACAGUUGGAAACGACUGCUAAUACCGCAUAAUGUCUUCGGACCAAACGGGGCUUCGGCUCCGGCGCAAAGAGAGGCCCAAGUGAGAUUAGCUAGUUGGUAAGGUAACGGCUUACCAAGGCGACGAUCUCUAGCUGUUCUGAGAGGAAGAUCAGCCACACUGGGACUGAGACACGGCCCAGACUCCUACGGGAGGCAGCAGUGGGGAAUAUUGCACAAUGGGGGAAACCCUGAUGCAGCCAUGCCGCGUGUGUGAAGAAGGCCUUCGGGUUGUAAAGCACUUUCAGUUGUGAGGAAAAGUUAGUAGUUAAUACCUGCUAGCCGUGACGUUAACAACAGAAGAAGCACCGGCUAACUCCGUGCCAGCAGCCGCGGUAAUACGGAGGGUGCGAGCGUUAAUCGGAAUUACUGGGCGUAAAGCGCACGCAGGCGGUUUGUUAAGCUAGAUGUGAAAGCCCCGGGCUCAACCUGGGAUGGUCAUUUAGAACUGGCAGACUAGAGUCUUGGAGAGGGGAGUGGAAUUCCAGGUGUAGCGGUGAAAUGCGUAGAUAUCUGGAGGAACAUCAGUGGCGAAGGCGACUCCCUGGCCAAAGACUGACGCUCAUGUGCGAAAGUGUGGGUAGCGAACAGGAUUAGAUACCCUGGUAGUCCACACCGUAAACGCUGUCUACUAGCUGUGUGUGUCUUUAAGACGUGCGUAGCGAAGCUAACGCGCUAAGUAGACCGCCUGGGGAGUACGGCCGCAAGGUUAAAACUCAAAUGAAUUGACGGGGCCCGCACAAGCGGUGAGCAUGUGUUUAAUUCGAUGCAACGCGAAGACCUUACCUACACUUGACAUGCAGAGACUUUCCAGAAGAUGGAUUGGUGCCUUCGGGAACUCUGACACAGGUGCUGCAUGCUGUCGUCAGCUCGUGUCGUGAGAUGUAGGAUUAAGUCCCGCAACGAGCGCAACCCUUGUCUUAGUUGCCAGCAUUUAGUUGGGCAUCUAAGGAACUGCCGUGACCAACGGAGGAGGUGGGACGACGUCAAGCUUCAUGUCCCUUACCUGAAGGGCUACACCGUCGUAAAAGGCGAUUACAAGGGAGACCAGACAGAUGAUGUGUACGAGACCCCCUCUAUACUUGCUAGAUCCGAUAGU